UCUCUUGAGAGCCAUAUAGAGGGAUGAGUUAAGAAGCCUGCUAUAUGCUCUCGGGAUUCC
rnacentral:pre_miRNA from 1 species